UACAGAGGGUGCGAGCGUUGUCCGGAAUCACUGGGCGUAAAGGGCGCGUAGGUGGCUGGGUAAGCGUGUGGUGAAAGUCCGGGGCUCAACCCCGGAUCUGCCGUGCGAACUGCCUAGCUCGAGCAAUGUAGAGGCAGGUGGAAUUUCGGGUGUAGCGGUGGAAUGCGUAGAUAUCCGAAAGAACACCAGUGGCGAAGGCGGCCUGCUGGGCAUUAGCUGACACUGAGGCGCGACAGCGUGGGGAGCAAACAGG
rnacentral:rRNA from 1 species